rnacentral:rRNA from 4 species
GAGCACGUAGGUGGGUUUGUAAGUCAGAUGUGAAAGCCUUCUGUUCAACGGAAGAAUUGCAUCUGAAACUGCGAGUCUUGAGUGUAGGAGGGGAGAAUGGAACUUCUGGUGGAGCGGUGAAAUGCGUAGAUAUCAGAAGGAACGCCGGCGGCGAAAGCGAUUCUCUGGCCUAUUACUGACACUCAGUGUGCGAAAGCUAGGGGAGCAAACGGGAUUAGAUACCCCGGUAGUCCUAGCCGUAAACGAUGGGCACUAAGUAGAGGGG